CCUACGGGAGGCAGCAGUAGGGAAUAUUGCACAAUGGGGGAAACCCUGAUGCAGCGACGCCGCGUGAGUGAAGAAGUAAUUCGUUAUGUAAAGCUCUAUCAGCAGGGCAGAAAAUGACGGUACCUGAGUAAGAAGCCCCGGCUAACUCCGUGCCAGCAGCCGCGGUAAUACGUAGGGGGCAAGCGUUAUCCGGAUUUACUGGGUGUAAAGGGAGCGUAGACGGCAGUGCAAGUCUGGAGUGAAAGGCGGGGGCUCAACCCCCGGACUGCUUUGGAAACUGUAAGGCUGGAGUGUAGGAGAGGUAAGUGGAAUUCCUGGUGUAGCGGUGAAAUGCGUAGAUAUUAGGAGGAACACCAGUGGCGAAGGCGGCUUACUGGACUGUAACUGACGUUGAGGAUCGAAAGCGUGGGGAGCAAACAGGAUUAGAUACCCCAGUAGUC
rnacentral:rRNA from 1 species